UGCAGAGGAUACAUGUCCAAACAAAGAGAAGAAACCCUGGCUCGUCGUUGAUACCAGAUAUUGCUGAUACCAUAUAUUGGAGACUGCAGUUGUUCCAACUAUCUUUGCGAAGACUCUGCAGAAGAUACAUAUCAAGACAAAGAGAAGAAAACCUGGUUCGUCGUUGAUACAAGUCAUGUAUUUCAAGUGCGGAAUCCUUUUGCUGAUGCUCGUCGGAUAUUGUAAGUAUCAAAACGUACGCCGGCGCACGAGCACACUCACG
rnacentral:lncRNA from 1 species